CGUAGGGCGCAAGCGUUGUCCGGAAUUAUUGGGCGUAAAGAGCUCGUAGGCGGCUUGUCACGUCGGGUGUGAAAGCCCGGGGCUUAACCCCGGGUCUGCAUUCGAUACGGGCUAGCUAGAGUGUGGUAGGGGAGAUCGGAAUUCCUGGUGUAGCGGUGAAAUGCGCAGAUAUCAGGAGGAACACCGGUGGCGAAGGCGGAUCUCUGGGCCAUUACUAACGCUGAGGAGCGAAAGCGUGGGGAGCGAACAGGAUUAGAUACCCUGGUAGUCCACGCCGUAAACGGUGGGAACUAGGUGUUGGCGACAUUCCACGUCGUCGGUGCCGCAGCUAACGCAUUAAGUUCCCCGCCUGGGGAGUACGGCCGCAAGGCUA
rnacentral:rRNA from 1 species